rnacentral:rRNA from 1 species
UACGUAGGGGGCAAGCGUUGUCCGGAAUCAUUGGGCGUAAAGCGCGUGUAGGCGGCUCGAUAAGUCUGCUGUGAAAGUCCAGGGCUCAACCCUGGGAUGCCGGUGGAUACUGUCGAGCUCGAGUCCGGAAGAGGCGAGUGGAAUUCCUGGUGUAGCGGUGAAAUGCGCAGAUAUCAGGAAGAACACCUAUGGCGAAGGCAGCUCUCUGGGACGGUACUGACGCUGAGACGCGAAAGCGUGGGGAGCGAACAGG